rnacentral:tRNA from 8 species
GGGUCGAUAGCUCAGUCGGUAGAGCAGCGGACUUUUAAUCCGUUGGUCGCGAGUUCGAGUCUCGCUCGACCCACCA